UUAAGUUCAGCGGGUAUCCCUACCUGAUCCGAGGUCAACCUGAAAAGGAUGAUGGGUUGUCGGCUGGCGCCGGCCGGGCCUACGAAGCGGGUGACAAAGCCCCAUACGCUCGAGGACCGGACUCGGUGCCGCCGCUGCCUUUCGGGCCUGUCCUCCGGGGGGAGGACAAGGCCCAAACACAAGCCGUGCUUGAGGGCAGC
rnacentral:misc_RNA from 1 species